ensembl:lncRNA
AGCAGGGUUGGGAAUGGGGAUGGAGGUGGGGAGGCUUCAGGAUGCAGGAAUGGGCUGUGAUUGUUCUCAGAGCUCAGGAAUUCAGGUGACUGAGGGUCUUCUGCAGACAGGAGUCAGAUCCAUCAGUCCUGAUUAGUGCAAAUUUUCCUGAAGCUUUUGGGCAUAAUCUGGUAAGCAAUUCAGCAGAUAAACAAGGACAGCUGCCUACAAGUCAACCAUGGUGCACCUCAGCUGACAGUGAGGGAUGCCGUUUCAGAAGACUGACUGUGCUUGAGAUUUUUAUAAAUAAGGACCCCUUUCCUCACUUCAAACUCCCAAAAAUGUCUGAGUUGUGGAAAUGGUUGGAAGUUGAGUCCGUCAGCUGGCAGAGGCCUGGAAGACACCAGCCCUCUCACCAGACCCUAUGCAGAGUUGUGGUUUUCCAGGAAGCAUUAGGGGCCAAGAGCACAGAGCUGUGGCAUGAAGGGAUCCAGGAAAAGGUGGAAGAAACAGCCAGGCAAGAAAGUACAAGUUCAUGUCAGCACUCCAGCGCCCUGCUCACUCCUGCUCAAGUGAGCUGACCUGCUACUGCCAGAAUGUUGCCUGGCUCCCUGAGUCACACAGAACAUCUGAAGAGGCAGUGUGGCAAAGGAAGUACAGAGCUGAGUUGAGGGCAGGACAGGCCUCGGAGUUUGGAUUUCAACUCUUCACCCCCAUGUAGACAAGCCUGGCCAUAAAGGGAGUAGUUUUGUUCCACCACACACCUCUGCCAUGCUAUGCUGCCUCCCCACAGGCCCCAAACAACAGACCCAAUAAUGGAGUGGAGCCUCUGAAAUGAUGAGACAAAAUAAAUGAUUUCUCUAAAUAAUUUAGUUAUUUUAGGUUGUUGUAAUAAUGGAAAGCUGACCAACAGAGGAUCAAACAAGUUCCGCUGCGAUGUUUUAGGACCUCAGCUGAGCACUCUUUCCUCUGCCUGAGGAGACCCAGCCUGGCCUCAGCAUGGCUUGUUAUCAUGCUGUUUUUUAUCAACUUAGCACCUGAGCGGCAUGGACACAGCCUUCUUUGAGGCUGUUGCCUUCAUUUCCCCUGAUUAAAAUUAUGUUGGUUAGAG